UAGAGAGUGCACUGUAUCCUAUCCUAUGACACAAAAAAACGAUCAGCACACUAUCCCUUGAAGAGGUAGGCUAGAUAACCAGUUAUACAGAGUAAAUCAUUGUGUUUUGUGAAUCCAUUUGUGUUAUAUGACAAUGGAAAGACUUGUGGAGGAAACUUUCUAGCCUACUAUGAGAUAAAAUAUGUAGGGCAGCCCACAUGUCAUGUGAGGAAUGUUGGUGAUGCUGAUCCUAUCGUUUCUUGUUACCAAGCUGAGGUCACAUGACUAGAACGUUGCAUAGGUUGUAUGAAUACAACUAUCUCACUCUCUUGUAGAAGAUAGGAUCACUUUUGACAGGAUUAUAGACAAUUUGCUACAUAGUAUGAGGAACUUGUUGCACUUUGAAUGUCUGUUUGAGUUGCUUGCUGUACAGCCUGACGAUGUGGAUCACUAUACCUAUUGUGAGAGUUGCUUGACUACAGCCCAAGAAGUUGAGAGCAGAAGAAAGACAUAGCAGAGUACAGACGGGAUGUUAUUGAGAAGGUAGUCAGUUGGUGCUGUGUGUGGAACCGCUCCUUUCCACAAAAAUGGUCAACUUUCCAAAGAAAAUAUGAAAACGUCCUGCAAGCACCUAUUAGGUAAUAAUGUGAAUUUGUGUUCCGUAUCUUGAAUAAUAUUUCCUACAAAUGGACGUUUAUAAUGUUAUUGGACAAUGUGUGACAACUCUUCAGAUGUGCACAAUGAGGAGUUCCCUACAGGCAGAGUUGCAAAGAAAAAGCCAUAUCUCAGACUGGCCAAUAAAAAGAAAAGAUUAAGAUGGGCAAAAGAACACAGACACUGGACAGAGGAACUCUGCCUAGAAGGCCAGCAUCCCGGAGUCGCCUCUUCACUGUUGACGUUGAGACUGGUGUUUUGCGGGUACAAUUUAAUGAAGCUGCCAGUUGAGGACUUGUGAGGCGUCUGUUUCUCAAGCUAGACAAUCUAAUGUACUUGUCCUCUUGCUCAGUUGUGCCCUGGGGCCUCCCACUCCUCUUUCUAUUCUGGUUAGAGCCAGUUUGCGCUAUUAUGUGAAGGGAGUAGUACACAGCGUUGUACAAGUUUCAGAAGAAAGUACUUUGUUUCUGGCUAUUUUGAGCCUGUAAUCGAACCCAGAAAUGCUGAUGCUUCAGAUACUCAACUAGUCUAAAGGCCAGUUUCAUUGCUUCUUUAAUCAGAACAACAGUUUUCAGCUGUGCUAACAUAAUUGCAAAAGGUUUUUCUAAUGAUCAAUUAGCAUUUUAAAAUGAUAAACUUGGAUUAGCGAACACAACGUGCCAUUGGAACACAGGAGUGAUGAUUGCUGAUAAUGGGCCUCUCUACGCCUAUGUAGAUAUUCCAUAAAACAAUCAGCUGUUUCCAGCUACAAUAGUCCUUUACAACAUUAACAAUGUCUACACUGUAUUUAUUUUAAUGGACAAAAAAGUAGCUAUUCUUUCAAAAACAAGGACAUUUCUAAGUGACCCCAAACUUUUGAAUGAUAGUGUGUGUAUGUAUGUAUAUGUGUGUGUUUUGGUAGGAUUGAUAUGCAUGUUUUCAUUCAUGUGAAGUGUGUUCAAGAGGUCUAGUAGACAGUCAUGGAAGGCAUUGCUGUUGCACUCUUGCUACAUUUAAGAGCAUCAGACCAGGUAAUGUUGCUACAUGUAAGAGCAUCUGAUCAGGCACUGCUGCUACACUAUAUAUAUGUUUUGUUGUUGCCUGUUAUUUUGGGAUUAAUGCAUGUCACAUCAGUUUGCAAACAAU